AUACGGAUGGUGCGAGCGUUGUUCGGAAUUACUGGGCGUAAAGCGCACGUAGGCGGACUGGAAAGUUGGGGGUGAAAUCCCGGGGCUCAACCCCGGAACUGCCUCCAAAACUUCCAAUCUAGAGAUCGAGAGAGGUGAGUGGAAUUCCAAGUGUAGAGGUGAAAUUCGUAGAUAUUUGGAGGAACACCAGUGGCGAAGGCGGCUCACUGGCUCGAUACUGACGCUGAGGUGCGAAAGCGUGGGGAGCAAACAGGAUUAGAAACCCUUGUAGUCC
rnacentral:rRNA from 1 species